AGUUUGAGGUGUGUUAAUUGGCUCAUGUGAUGCGCAUGCGGUGACGUCAUGAGUGAGCGUGCUGAAAGGCAGAGUUAACGAGGCAUGCAGAGGUUUGGUCCAAGUGGACUUUUUGCACAGAGUUUUGUGUUUAAACUUUGUCUCUGGUUUAUAAGCACGGUAACCUGUAAGAAGACUAAAUAACAAAACUUUGACAAGAACUUUUGAUGUGAUGCUACAUUGCUACAGUGAUUAAAACGUGGACAGACUGCAGCUGCUGCUAGAUAACCCAGCUCGACCCAGUAGCUUUGUUUGGACUGUUUUCGGCCUGGAACCUGGACUCUACAACCAGAUAGCACUCUGAGACACUUUGGAUUACCGCCUGAUCUGAUGAUUCUGUACUCUCGCCUUCAUCUGGAGGCAUAAACUACCCUGUGGACCUCGCAUCUGUAAAAAAGCCUCCUCGCCCCCUCAUAUCUCCAAUGAAAAGCUUUAUCAUCUUGUCCGAGCAGCAGUGUCAACAACCCGGGCUAAAUGGCCUUUCCCAGGACCCAUUUGGCUCCACAUCCAUUAAGUAUUCUGCCACCCUGAUGGGAGAUAGCGGCAGAAGGAGAAGGGGCGAUAUGUCAGCGGGGCAGACCAGAGAUAGACCGACUCUGGUGGAAAUCUAAACUCUGGUGCGGUAGAUGGAGACAGUGGUAAGAAUAGGGAUGCUGGGCCUCCACACCAGUAAAUAUUGAAUGGAAGCUGUUUACUGACCUGUCAGAGAGCAGUAUUGAUUCCUCCUUGUGUCCACUUUAGAGCAAAUCACAUUAUGAAAAUUCUAUGGCAAGUCUGUACAGUUUAGGUGGUCAUCCCUCCUUUAUGAUAAAAGACAAUCUCAUGCUGACAGCCUCAGGUAAACUGGGACUGUCAACUGAAACCGUCACUACAGGCAUCAAAGAGGAGGGGUGGUGUGGAGGAAGCACAGGGGUGAAGGAGGAUGUAACAACAAUCAACACCCCGCAGACAGAGGCAUACCGCCCUGCUCAGUGGGGUGGUGCUGAUGACAUCAGAGGAGCAGCAGGAAGAACAGCCUGAUGACUCCCAGUGUGCAGAGGCAGGGAGGCUACACCCGCAAGUGAAGGCGCACGCACAAACACACAAACACACAAACUACAUGAACAGUAACUUUCUUAUUUACCUGGAACCAUUAUUGUCCGAAGGCCAGCGCUACUUAGCAUUCGCAGUAUUGGUAUAUGAAACUGUAAGUUGAGAAAAAAUAAAAAUGUUUGAUUUUAUUGAAGCCUAUGUUUAAAGACAAGUUAUUGUAUGUAAAAUAAAAGGAUU